UUACGGCCAUAUCACGUUGAAACACCGGUUCCAGUAAGAUUAUCGAAGUUAAGCAACGUGGAGUCUGGUAGCUACCCAGAUGGGUUACCACUUGGGAAUACCAGGUGCUGUAAG